UGAGGAAUAUUGGGCAAUGCCCGCAAGGGUGACCCAGCAACGCCGCGUGGAGGAUGAAUGUCGCAAGAUUGUAAACUCCUGUUAGAGGGGAAGAAUAGUACCGGUUGGACCGGUAUAUGACUGUACCCUCAGUGAAAGCCCCGGCUGACUACGUGCCAGCAGCCGCGGUAAUACGUAGGGGGCAAGCGUUGUCCGGAUUUACUGGGUGUAAAGGGCGCGCAGGCGGGAUAAAAAGUCAGUGGUGAAAUCCUACAGCUUAACUGUAGAACUGCCUUUGAUACUUUGAGUCUUGAGUUCGGGAGAGAGAGACGGAAUUCCAGGUGUAGUGGUGAAAUACGUAGAUAUCUGGAAGAACACCAGUUGCGAAGGCGGUCUCUUGGUCCGACACUGACGCUGAGGCGCGAAAGCGUGGGGAGCAAACA
rnacentral:rRNA from 1 species